rnacentral:rRNA from 1 species
GGUCUUCGGAUCGUAAACCUCUGUCAGCAGGGAAGAACGGUCACUUGUGCUAAUCAGCAGUGAAUUAGACGGUACCUGCAAAGGAAGCACCGGCUAACUCCGUGCC